AGCAAAAACAUGCACGUAACACUGCUUUUUUCAUUCGUGAUCUCUUAGAAAUCAUUCCAGAGUAGGAAGAACACUCAGGACACUACCCCAAAAUACACACCUUGCUCUACUGAGUAUUUUACCCUGAAGGAAUUUGAGAAAUGUAAGUAGAGAAAGGACUCCCUGACAUUCCCCUGAGGCAAGUCAGGUGAUCCUCAUGUGAGAGGUACCCUCCCUGUUCCUGGAGGAAAAGAGCAUCCUUAUCUCUGGAGACAGGGGGACCCCAGAAAAAAUCUGAAUGCACAGAGCUUGCCAACUUUCCCCCAGUUUACUACUCUUCAUGCCUUUUUUGCCCUACCACACUUUUUGUUUGUUUGUUUGAAACGGAGUCUCGCUUUGUCACCCAGGCUGGAGGGCAGGGACGUGAUCUCGGCUCACUGCAGCCUCUGUCUCCCAGGUUCAAGCGAUUCCCCUGCCUCAGCUUCCCAAGUAGCUGGGAUUACAGGUGCGUGCCACCACACCCGGCUAUUUUUUUUUUUUUUUUUUUUUUUUUUUUUUUUUUUUUUUUUUUUUUUUGUAUUUUAGUAGAGACGGAGUUUCGACCAUGUUGGCCAGGAUGUUCUCAAUCUCCUAACCUCGUGACCCGCCGGCCUCGGCCUCCCAAAGCCCUGGGAUUACAGGUGUGCGCCGCCGCGCCUGGCCGCCCUGCCACAUUUGUCUGUAACUCGGCAUUCUCCGCCAAAUCGAGGCUAGAAGCCCUCAGGCUAACCAUUUCUUCAGGUCCUAAUUUCCUUAUGAAGGCUCCCAUGUCAGGUGAAAUUUAAAUAAGUGUGUAUGCUUUUCUCUUGUUCAUCUGGCUUUUAUUACAGGGUCCCAGCUGAGAACCUAGAGGGGUAGGAGGAACAUAUUUUCCCCCCACCUACAGCAGUGAUUUAAAGGGAUUCCUUUAUUCUCGUUUUCCUUUUACAGCUGCCUAGUGUCUCAUUGUAUAGAUGUGCUUCGUGGACAUUUUCUUUCCAGGCUUUUGCAAGCAAAGAGCAACUCGUUACCUUUACAAAAGCAAUGUUCAUGCAUGCAAGGAUAUCUGUAACACAAAGAAGUGGAUUUUCAAAGCAUUUCAAAAGCCCUCAUUUCUGGAGAAGUCCUGCCCCACACCCAGGAGGAAGGAAUGGUGCAGUGAGGCCGAGAAGGAUCUGGAGGCCAGACAGGCCCUGCUGGGUUCCCUACAGACCUCUCAUCGUUUGACCACACCCAUCAUCCGCUCCCAUUUCUGCAUGGCUGUUCACUUUUCAGUGUUCCCUGCGUCUUAGAUCUUUAUUGCUGAAGGCUCCGUGUCUCAUUAAACUUUGAUUACAUAAACUUGUGGCUGGGCACUGUGGCUGGCACCUGUAAUCCCAGCACUUUGGGAGGCCGAGGCAGGUGGAUCCCUUGAACCCAGGAAUUCAAGACCAGCCUGGGCAACAUGGGUGAAACCCCAUCUCUACUUUAAAAAAUAAAUAAGGCUGGGCGCGGUGGCUCACGCCUGUAAUCCCAGCACUUUGGGAGGCCGAGGCGGGUGGAUCACGAGGUCAAGAGAUCGAGACCAUCCUGGUCAACAUGGUGAAACCCCGUCUCUACUAAAAAUACAAAAAAUUAGCUGGGCAUGGUGGCGUGUGCCUGUAAUCCCAGCUACUCAGGAG
ensembl:lncRNA